rnacentral:rRNA from 1 species
ACGCUCGACACCUACGGGGGCAGCAGUAGGGAAUCUUCCGCAAUGGACGAAAGUCUGACGGAGCAACGCCGCGUGAACGAUGAAGGUUUUCGGAUCGUAAAGUUCUGUUGUUAGGGAAGAACAAACUUCGUUUGAAUAAGGCGGAGUCAUGACGGUACCUAACGAGAAAGCCACGGCUAACUACGUGCAGCACGCCGACGGUAAUCUGAGGCGGGCUGGACGAAGGC